UUAAAGCAAAAUUGAAUUUGAGUGUUGAUUCGUAAAUUCAAAGACAGAAAAGGUGGAUUUAGUUGCUUAUCAAAAAAUAGAAGGGACAUAACAUGUGGUUUUGUUCCGUUUUCAUAGUCUCCCGCUUUGAACUUGGUAUUUGUUUAGCUUUUGGCAUGCCAUAUAUACUCAUCUGGAAUUUCAGGAUUCUGCGCGGGCAGAAGUAAGAAUUUGAAAGCUGCCGCUUCUGGGCUGGAUGCAUUGCCAUAGGCUGAAUCAGAAUCAUGUCGAACAUUCAUACUGGAAAUUCAAUUGAAAUGUUCUAUUUGCUGUCUUCAAUGUUGAUCUCAAUGAAAUGAUUGUUGCUUUCUGUUGGGUUUUCCAAUCUGAUUUUGUCUAAUUGACCUGCGUUAUGCUUCUCAAUUCUUUGGAAUUUUCUCAGGACAGAAAAAUUGCUGAAGACAUGUCUUCCGUUCAUGAAAGUUGAAAUUAUCAAGCAGUUGAUAGUUUGAAAUUGGGUUGCCUGUAUGAAUGCAAUAUCGAAGAAUGCUACACAACUUGCAAGCAUAGAUUUUUGGUUGAUUCAUCAAAAAGAGAAAGUAUUUGAAGUUCUUAAAUGAAGAAGUUUGGGGUUUACGUCAAUACAAAUGUUUCCAAUGGAGGAGGAUUGAGAUGCUUCAACUGCGUUUACCAUGAGGAUUUUUAUUGGAAUUUUACAGGGGAAAGCUGUUCUUAAGUUUAAUGGGCCUAAAAUUGUAAUAAGGGAAGUUUGAUGGGCUUAAAUUUGAUGAAGACGCCCUAUCAAAUGCAAUAUUAAACUAUGGAUUUCGCUGGUUAAGAAACAAAUUUUUUUUUGUCGUCACCAUUUCAAUGUUAAAAAGGAUUAUUUUGAAUUUUUUUAAUCUAAAUCAUGUUUUUUUAUUUUUUAUCUUAAGACUUUGCCGGUAUCAUAACAGCUCUCACAUUAAUUUGGCGCCAUGUCCCAAAUUCAAUCUGAUCCCUCAACUCACAACAAUCUUCGUCCCGCAUUCAUGACACCGCAAAAGCUUCUCCCAGUCGAAAAAUGCUCACUGGGAUGCCCCAUCCUAGACUGCUGCAUGGGCGGAGGCAUCCCUUGCAACUCCAUAACCGAAAUCGUGGCUGAAAGUGGUUCCGGCAAAACCCAACUCUGCCUCCAACUCUCCCUCCGCGCCCAACUCCCACCCUUCCUCGGCGGCCUGUCCGCUUCCUCUCUUUACCUCUACACCGAAUUCCCGUUUCCCACUCGCCGCCUCCACCAGCUCUCCAGUGCCCUUCAAUGUCAAUACCCACAAAUAUUCGUCAGCAAUUAUGAUCCUUGUGAUAGUAUAUUUCUGCAAAGUGUAAACACCGCAGACCAACUGCUCGAUAUAAUGCCGCAAGUAGAAUCAUUUCUUGAAAACUCAAAAACCCGGUUGCCUGUCAGAGUGAUUGUGAUCGAUUCCAUGGCUGCAUUGUUUAGGGCUGAGUUUGAGAAUACAGCGAGUGAUCUUAUAAGGAGGUCGUCGUUGUUUUUUAAGAUAUCCGGGAAGCUAAAAGAGUUUGCGAAGAGGUUUAAUUUGGUGGUGCUGGUGACUAAUCAAGUGAUGGAUGUUGUGGACUCUGGAGAGGGAUUAAACGAGGUAAGGAUUGGGAAUUUGAGUGGUAUGUAUUCGUCUGGACGAAGGGUUUGUCCGGCUCUGGGAUUGUCGUGGGCUAAUUGUGUAAAUUCGAGGUUGUUCUUGUCCAAAGAUGAAUAUGAGAGUGGUUUGGUGGGUGGUGGUGAGAGUGGUUUUCUGUCUAGGGAAACGAGGAGAAGGCUUCACGUUGUUUUUGCGCCACAUUUGCCUGAUUUGUCUUGUGAGUUUGUGAUCAGGAGAGAAGGGGUUGUGGGAGUCAACAGAUAAACGAGGAGAUGGCUUCACGCUGUUUUUGCGCCACAUUACCCUGGUUUGUCCUGUCACUUUUGUUCCUCAUUUUGAGCUUGUAUUCACUUCUUUACAUGGAGGCUUCGCUUCGGCAGAGAAACCAGCACUUUUACGAUGGCUGCACUUCCAGCAUGUAAAGGAACCAUUUAUAUUUAACAGCCAAAAUAUCUUCUAUACUUUUAGAUUAGGGGAGCAGACCCAUGAUGUCAACUCUUUUGCUUGCCCUGAUUUAUAUUAAGAGUAGUAGGAAUUACAAAUUUGAA